GGUGACUGCGUACCUUUUGUAUAAUGGGUCAGCGACUUAUAUUCUGUAGCAAGGUUAACCGUAUAGGGGAGCCGCAGGGAAACCGAGUCUUAACUGGGCGUUAAGUUGCAGGGUAUAGACCCGAAACCCGGUGAUCUAGCCAUGGGCAGGUUGAAGGUUGGGUAACACUAACUGGAGGACCGAACCGACUAAUGUUGAAAAAUUAGCGGAUGACUUGUGGCUGGGGGUGAAAGGCCAAUCAAACCGGGAGAUAGCUGGUUCUCCCCGAAAGCUAUUUAGGUAGCGCCUCGUGAAUUCAUCUUCGGGGGUAGAGCACUGUUUCGGCUAGGGGGUCAUCCCGACUUACCAACCCGAUGCAAACUACGAAUACCGAAGAAUGUUAUCACGGGAGACACACGGCGGGUGCUAACGUCCGUCGUGAAGAGGGAAACAACCCAGACCGCCAGCUAAGGUCCCAAAGUCAUGGUUAAGUGGGAAACGAUGUGGGAAGGCCCAGACAGCCAGGAUGUUGGCUUAGAAGCAGCCAUCAUUUAAAGAAAGCGUAAUAGCUCACUGGUCGAGUCGGCCUGCGCGGAAGAUGUAACGGGGCUAAACCAUGCACCGAAGCUGCGGCAGCGACACUAUGUGUUGUUGGGUAGGGGAGCGUUCUGUAAGCCGUUGAAGGUGGCCUGUGAGGGUUGCUGGAGGUAUCAGAAGUGCGAAUGCUGACAUAAGUAACGAUAAUGCGGGUGAAAAACCCGCACGCCGGAAGACCAAGGGUUCCUGUCCAACGUUAAUCGGGGCAGGGUGAGUCGACCCCUAAGGCGAGGCCGAAAGGCGUAGUCGAUGGGAAACAGGUUAAUAUUCCUGUACUUGGUGUUACUGCGAAGGGGGGACGGAGAAGGCUAUGUUGGCCGGGCGACGGUUGUCCCGGUUUAAGCAUGUAGGCGGAUGUUCCAGGUAAAUCCGGAGCGUCACUAACGCUGAGGUGUGAUGACGAGGCACUACGGUGCUGAAGUGACAAAUGCCCUGCUUCCAGGAAAAGCCUCUAAGCAUCAGGUAACAUCAAAUCGUACCCCAAACCGACACAGGUGGUCAGGUAGAGAAUACCAAGGCGCUUGAGAGAACUCGGGUGAAGGAACUAGGCAAAAUGGUGCCGUAACUUCGGGAGAAGGCACGCUGAUGGUAGGUGAAGUGACUUGCUCAUGGAGCUGAAAUCAGUCGAAGAUACCAGCUGGCUGCAACUGUUUAUUAAAAACACAGCACUGUGCAAACACGAAAGUGGACGUAUACGGUGUGACGCCUGCCCGGUGCCGGAAGGUUAAUUGAUGGGGUUAUCCUCGCGGAGAAGCUCUUGAUCGAAGCCCCGGUAAACGGCGGCCGUAACUAUAACGGUCCUAAGGUAGCGAAAUUCCUUGUCGGGUAAGUUCCGACCUGCACGAAUGGCGUAAUGAUGGCCAGGCUGUCUCCACCCGAGACUCAGUGAAAUUGAACUCGCUGUGAAGAUGCAGUGUACCCGCGGCAAGACGGAAAGACCCCGUGAACCUUUACUAUAGCUUGACACUGAACACUGGUCCUUGAUGUGUAGGAUAGGUGGGAGGCUUUGAAGUGUGGACGCCAGUCUGCAUGGAGCCAUCCUUGAAAUACCACCCUUUAAUGGCUGGUGUUCUAACGUGGGCCCGUGAUCCGGGUUGCGGACAGUGUCUGGUGGGUAGUUUGACUGGGGCGGUCUCCUCCUAAAGAGUAACGGAGGAGCACGAAGGUCAGCUAAUCCUGGUCGGACAUCAGGAGGUUAGUGCAAUGGCAUAAGCUGGCUUGACUGCGAGCGUGACGGCGCGAGCAGGUGCGAAAGCAGGUCAUAGUGAUCCGGUGGUUCUGAAUGGAAGGGCCAUCGCUCAACGGAUAAAAGGUACUCCGGGGAUAACAGGCUGAUACCGCCCAAGAGUUCAUAUCGACGGCGGUGUUUGGCACCUCGAUGUCGGCUCAUCACAUCCUGGGGCUGAAGUAGGUCCCAAGGGUAUGGCUGUUCGCCAUUUAAAGUGGUACGCGAGCUGGGUUUAGAACGUCGUGAGACAGUUCGGUCCCUAUCUGCCGUGGGCGCUGGAGAAUUGAGGGGGGCUGCUCCUAGUACGAGAGGACCGGAGUGGACGCAUCACUGGUGUUCGGGUUGUCAUGCCAAUGGCAUUGCCCGGUAGCUAAAUGCGGAAGAGAUAAGUGCUGAAAGCAUCUAAGCACGAAACUUGCCCCGAGAUGAGUUCUCCCUGACUCCUUGA
rnacentral:rRNA from 1 species